CAGUUAAUGAACUGAACCCAUGGUGGAGGUUGGAUCUCGAAACGAGUCAAUGCGUCGAGACAAUUCGAAUUUGGCCUACUGCACAUGAGGCCACUUUGCAGCGUGCAUCUCUACGUGCAGGUCUGAGUGAUAAUCAUACGAGUAAUGUGAAGUGUAAAACCAGUAAACCCCAACCUUCACCCAACGACUUUACGGAGUUUACCUGUCAUCCGCCUGUACUUGCCCGCUAUGUCAGCGUCGAUAUACCCGGAUUGGCAAGCCUUGGACUGUGCGAGGUGACAGUAGCUGCGUGUGAUUUCAAUCAAAAAGUUAACUCUGUGGAUUUCACUGUGGUUGUCAACCCUGCUCUCAUUGGUCCAACUGGUGAUGACGAUUCGGUCAUCGCAGUGUACAGAGAACCAGACGAUUUUGCCUCCAAUGUCUCAUUUGGUCGCCAAGUCACAACUGGACUUCCAUCAGGUUCAGGCGAGAUAGUGGAUUCAUCGUUGGGAUGUACAGUGAGAUUGCUUCGAUUGCCAGAGGAAGGAGGUCUGAACAGGACGGGUGUGUUCUACGCAGAGGUGACCAAGAAUAACGUAAUCACCAGGAUACAGAGCGUUGUUCUACCAAACGAUGGUAAUA